rnacentral:lncRNA from 1 species
CAAUAGAAUUUACUUUAACAGAUGGUUUCCUGUUCUCGUUUUCCAGUGCAACCAAACUCUGUGUUACAAAUAAACAUUUUUUUUAAUAAGCACAAUAAUAUAUGUUUUUUUAAAAUUAUGCUCACAAAAGUCCAAACACGUGGGUUCGGUGAGUAUGUAGAGAAUCUAAAAGUGCUUUUUUUUUGCAGGCAUACAUCAAAGGGAAGAUAUGGAGACUUUAAAAAGAGGUGUGAGUCAUCUUACCACAGAACAAUCUUUGGUUGACUUCCCGCUAGGUUGCGUCAUGACGUCAGGAGAGGGGCUGGAGGGUAGAGUAUGGGGCGAACGUAGCACGGUGCUCAGUAGUUGGGGUGUCCGGGUGUCCCGCCUCGGUCCCUCGCCACAAACGUCCGUGUGUGUUAACUCCAACAGUUCGCUGUCACCAACGCAGCGACGGUGUCGAUGUACGAUAUAGAUGGAGACAUUUCACCGCAUAAGAGGCACAGUGUGAUGACACAGUGGCGGGACUGUGGACCGGAGUCCGGGGACACUCACUGACCGCUCACUGACAUCCACACCGACUGACGCUCCUCGAACAUUUCAAGAGUCGCGGCUCGUCGGGGGAGGAAAGGGAGGCAGCGCAUCCCCAUAAAUUAGAGGCGAGGGUGAAAAAAAAUAAAGUUAUAUGUGAUGACAUUUAAACAGCAUUCAGUUUGAGAUACUUUGUGUUUUAAGUGAAUAAAUAUAGUCUAAUUUCGUCCCGGUGUCGUGACUUCUGUCGUGACCGACUGUUACUGUGAGAACAAACCAUCUAAUGCCAUAAACGGCGGCUGCCUUCACGUGGUAUCGGAAUUAUGGUUCAUACGAGUCGCCGACUCGGAAUUGCACAUGAACGCCCCCUCAAGUCGCAUUAAGAGUGGGGAAACCCGGAAGUAAUUUUCAUACCCACGUUCCCGAGUUGGGGUGUCCAGAGCCCUUUCAACGUGGCGGGAAAUAAAAUGAAAACCAUUUCAGCAUUGUUUUUUUGUCAUGUCAUGACUGUAUUUCCGUGCAGUUUUACAUUAUGCGUUACUCAAUAGUGAACAUUAAAAAAUUAUACUUUGAUUCGUGAAGUUCGCUACUCAUCAUCAUGUGAUGUCAUAUUAAUAUUUUUGCUGAGGUACGUUAAUAACAAAGGGUUUUAAAUGUUUUCAAAAUAUUUGAUAACAUAUGUAUUCCAGAUCUGUGUCAUUAUUUGUUAAAAACAAAUUAAUUUCGCUCCAUCUCGAAUUCAAAUCAUUAGCGCUCACGUUAUCUUGGUGUUUUAUGACUCUGACAGCUUGUCAUGGACUCUGGAGCGGGAUCAAAGUUAUGUGCUGGGUGCUUGGUUCCAGUUAACUAAUGAAAUUCAUGUUUUGAUUUACUACGAUAGUGUCAUGUUAAUGCAUGUCUGUGGCUUAUGCUUCAUCAGCCAUGGUCUCAAACCCUCAGCAGGGUUUAUUUUAGUCUCAACUCAACCAGCUAAUGCAAUCUAA